GACGAACGCUGGCGGCGUGCUUAACACAUGCAAGUCGAACGGAAAGGCCCUGCUUUUUUGGGGUGCUCGAGUGGCGAACGGGUGAGUAACACGUUAGUAACCUGCCCUUGACUUUGGGAUAACUUCAGGAAACUGGGGCUAAUACCGGAUAGGAGCUCCUGCUGCAUGGUGGGGGUUGGAAAGUUUCGGCGGUUGGGGAUGGACUCGCGGCUUAUCAGCUUGUUGGUGGGGUAGUGGCUUACCAAGGCUUGGACGGGUAGCCGGGCUGAGAGGGUGACCGGACAAAUUGGGACUGAGAUGAGGCACAGACUCCUACGGGAGGCAGCAGUGGGGAAUAUUGCACAAUGGGCGGAAGCAAGAUGCAGCAACGCCGCGUGCGGGAUGACGGCCUGCGGGUUGUAAACCGCUUUCGCCUGUGACGAAGCGUGAGUGACGGUAAUGGGUAAAGAAGCACCGGCUAACUACGUG
rnacentral:rRNA from 1 species